rnacentral:lncRNA from 1 species
AUUCACAGACAGGGUCUCACUGAGUUGCUUAGCACCUGGCUGUUGCUGAGUUGGCUUUGAACUCAUGAAUCUCCUGCUUCAGCCUCCCAAGCUUCUGGGAUUGUAGGUGUGCACCAUGUUGCUUGCAUUCUUAUUAACUACAUUGACACUUUCACUGAGAUACUGUUUUCUACAGAGUUUUGAAAUAUCCCCACUGAGUAGUAGGAUACACACACACACAUACUCACACACACAAACACAUAUGAACAACUUUGGCACAUGGCUUUACUCAGUCCUACAAUGAGAUCGAGCUCACAUCUAGAGAGUCAUGUCAUGGUCUCUAAAUACUGACUCUGCUUGCCUGCUUCAAACUACGGUUUAUGUAAUCAUGCAAUCACCUCCUUUGAGAUAUAGAAGACCCCUGAUCCUGUCACCAUCUUCAUAGCUACAGGUCAUAUCUUUUUACUAUCUAUCCCCACAUACAGAGUAAUUUUACUCUCAAAAAACUCCAGACCAAAUUCCAAACAGAAAAUCCUGUGUGCUUGGAAUGGGUUAAAUAAAUGUG